GGCAUUUGGAGGCCCAACCUCCAACCCCACAGGCAAUGUCAUCAAAAUUGUAUUUAUUACAGUAGUGUACAUAUGUAUGUACCACGCCCUAGUAAAAUAUGCACAAUUUAAAUGUUUUUGCAUGAGCCAAGAACUUGUGAGCAUCUUUAUUCAUCUAGAGUCAGUCAAUUAUGUGUCAGCCAAUUAUGUGUUCAAAUGGUACUGGAAGUUCACACAACAGGUAAUGCUAUCACAGUUGUGUUUAUUACAGUAGUGCACAUAUGUAUGUACCACACCCAAGUAAAAUAGCCACUAUUAAGUGUUUUUGCAUGAGCCAUGAACUUGUGAGCAUCUGCACUCGUCUAGAGUCAGUCAAUUAUUUAUGUGUCAGCCAAUUAUGUGUUCAAAUGGUACUGGAAGUUCACACAACAGGUAAUGCUAUCACAGUUGUGUUUAUUACAGUAGUGCACAUAUGUAUGUACCACACCUAAGUAAAAU